rnacentral:rRNA from 1 species
AGCGAACGCUGGCGGCAGGCCUAACACAUGCAAGUCGAACGGAUCCUUCGGGAUUAGUGGCGGACGGGUGAGUAACACGUGGGAACGUGCCCUUUGGUUCGGAACAACUCAGGGAAACUUGAGUUAAUACCGGAUGUGCCCUUCGGGGGAAAGAUUUAUCGCCAUUGGAGCGGCCCGCGUCUGAUUAGCUAGUUGGUGAGGUAACGGCCCACCAAGGCGACGAUCAGUAGCUGGUCUGAGAGGAUGAUCAGCCACACUGGGACUGAGACACGGCCCAGACUCCUACGGGAGGCAGCAGUGGGGAAUCUUGCGCAAUGGGCGAAAGCCUGACGCAGCCAUGCCGCGUGAAUGAUGAAGGUCUUAGGAUUGUAAAAUUCUUUCAGCGGGGACGAUAAUGACGGUACCCGCAGAAGAAGCUCCGGCUAACUUCGUG